ACACAGAAGCAAUGGCUGCAUUCAGCAGACUCAACAGUUGCACAACAGUUGAGUAAUUUGUCAAUGUAAUUGGUCUAGAUUUAGGGAUCUAAUAGCAAGAACCAAUAAUCGUUGAUUGCUCACUGAGCGCUUUUUCUACUGAAUGCCCAAUGCUUCAUGCUUGCGUCGUACGAGGUCUCUAAAGUCAACUCAAGAUUUGUUAGUCUCCUGUAGAUCUUUAAAGUUUAGGUGGUGAAGUUGUUAUAAAGUUGCAUAUAAUUGUUUUAAAAGUUCAACAUAUUGUAUGAUAUUAAAUAUGACGUCUGUACUACAAUCAUUAUCAUUUUUUUCUAUUAAGAAAAAAAGAUAUUUACUUAUUAGUGACAUAAUUAGGCUAUCUAAGUAUAGAAUUCAUACGUCAAGAUGUAUGCUUCAUGGUGAAUAUGAAAUGCUGGAUCCUAAAACAGAAGCUGAUAUAGUUAAUGUCACUUUUAUUGAUAAAAGAGGAAAGAAGCAUGCAGUGCAAGGGAAAGUUGGAGACAAUAUACUUUAUUUAGCUCACAGACAUGGGAUUGAAAUGGAAGGAGCAUGUGAGGCUUCUCUAGCAUGUACGACUUGUCAUGUAUAUGUACACCAGGACUAUUUGAACAAACUUCCAGUUCCUGAGGAAAAAGAAGAAGAUCUUUUAGAUUUGGCACCUUUUUUAAAAGAAAAUUCUAGACUAGGGAAAAUGCUUUAUGCAUACCCGGAGUCCCUGGGGGGACUCACGGGUUAUGCGGGACUCUUCCUCCCCAAAAUGGGGAGGUCCUACCCGCUAAAACUUCUGGGGGAUGUCUAAGAAGGGCGACUGGGAAGGGGGAAAGGGGACUGGGAAAACUACUAUUGGCAUUACUUCCCCGGCCCCUUGCUCAUGAUAGGGACCCAUAGCCCGAAGGCCCCUCGCCCCCCAGGUUGUCAAAUAAACUUAACGAAAGUGUUAGAUGGCAUAGAGCUAGAAUUACCCAAGGCAACCAGAAAUUUCUAUGUGGAUGGACAUACCCCAACUUUACAUUAG